CUUACCUAUAAUGUUGCCUCGGCGGGAACCGACGGCCCUGUAAAACGGGCCGCCCCCGCCAGAGGACCCCCUAACUCUUGUUACUUUAUGUUUCUUCUGAGUAAAACAAGCAAAUAAAUUAAAACUUUCAACAACGGAUCUCUUGGCUCUGGCAUCGAUGAAGAACGCAGCGAAAUGCGAUAAGUAAUGUGAAUUGCAGAAUUCAGUGAAUCAUCGAAUCUUUGAACGCACAUUGCGCCCGCCAGUAUUCUGGCGGGCAUGCCUGUCCGAGCGUCAUUACAACCCUCAGGCCCCCGGGCCUGGCGUUGGGGAUCGGCGGAGCCCCCCGUGGGCACACGCCGUCCCCUAAAUAUAGUGGCGGUCUCGCUGCAGCCUCCAUUGCGUAGUAGCUAACACCUCGCAACUGGAACGCGGCGCGGCCAUGCCGUAAAACACCCAACU
rnacentral:rRNA from 1 species